rnacentral:lncRNA from 10 species
AUUUGUUCAGACUGCUGAAAGAAGCCUCUCACAGAGGUACGCAGAUGGCAAGUUGAGCUGGAAUAAGAAAAAGAAUGGCAGGAUGCCGAGGACUGCUCUUGCCACUCCAUGAACACCCAAGAUGUCCCCGACACACACAUGAAACCUCUCCACACCAGGAAUCCAGCCAGAGCCCCUUCUAUAGAGCAGGAAAAGGUGGUUGUGGGUGAGCUCUGGGCUCCUGUGGGCAUCAAUCUAGAUUUCCACUUGCUUUUUUUUUUUUUUUUUUUUGAGACAGGAUCUCCCUCUGUCACCAGGCUGGAGUGCAGUGGAGCAAUCAUGGCUCACUGCAGCCUCAACCUCCUGGGUUUGAGCAAUCCUCCUGCCUCAGCCUCCUGAGCAGCUGGGACUACAGGUAUGUGCCAAUACAGCUGGCUGAUUUUUAAAAUUCUUUUUGGUAUUUUGUACAGAUAGGGUCUCAUGUGUUGCCCAGACUGGUCUUGAACUGCUGGCCUCACAUGAUCCUCCCACCUCAGCCUCCCAAGGUGCUGGGAUUACAGGUGUGAGCUGCCUCAUUUUGUUUUUAAUCCAUCUCCAUCCCUCCCCUACUAGGGCUUGCUAUUCAGCCAACCACACUGCACAGCACUCUCUCCUACCACACAAAGCUGCUUGUCCAGGUCUCUCCAGGUGUCUGUAUCUAUCUCUUGUUAUGCAUCAGUCUAUGUGUGUCCUCUGCCCAAUGAGGCUACUGGAGACAUAACAUACUGUAGAGGUUAAGAACAUGAGCUCUGGGACCAGGCCACUGCAGUCUGAAUCAUGGCUGUGCCACUUCCCAGCUAUGACCUUGGCCAUGUUAUUUAACUUUUCUCUGCCUCAUUUUUCCUACCUAUAACAUUGGGAUAAUAGUACAUAUUUCUAGGGUUGUUUAAAAGGCCUUGCAACUAAUCUGUUAAGAAAGAAAGGAAAUUGUUCAGCUCCCUCUUACAAGUGAGAACAUGCGGUGUUUGGUUUUCUGUUCCUGUGUUAAUUUGCUAAGGAUGAUGGUUUUCAGCUUCAUUCAUGUCCCUGCAAAGGACGUGAACUCAUUGUUUUUUAUAGCUCCAUAGUAUUCCAUGGUGUAUAUGUGCCACAUUUUCUUUAUCCAGUCUAUCAUUGCUGGGCAUUUGGGUUGGUUCCAAGUCUUUGCUAUUGUAAAUAGUGCUGCAAUAAACAUAUGUGUGCAUGUGUCUUUAUAGUAGAAUGAUUUAUAAUCCUUUGGGUAUAUACCCAGUAACAGGAUUGCUGGGUCAAAUGGUAUUUCUGGUUCUAGAUCCUUGAGGAAUUGCCACACUGUCUUCCACAAUGGUUGAACUAAUUUAUACUCCCACCAACAGUGUAAAAGCAUUCCUAUUUCUCCGCAUCCUCUCCAGCAUCUGUUGUUUCCAGACUUUUUAAUAAUCGCCAUUUUUUUUUAAUAUGGAGUCUCACUCUAUCGCCCAGGCUGGAGUGCAGUGGUGCGAUCUCAGCUCAUUGCAACCUCUGCCGCCCAGGUUCAAGCAAUUCUCUUGCCUCAGCCUCCCGAGUAGCUGGAAUUACAGGUGCCUGCCUCUGCGCCCUGCUAAUUUUUGUAUUUUUAGUAGACACAGGGUUUCACCAUCUUGGUCAGGCUGGUCUUGAACUCCUGACCUUGUGAUCCACCCACCUCAGCCUCCCAAAGUGUUGGGAUUACAGGCAUGAGGCACCGCGCCCGGCCAACAAUCGCCAUUAUAACUGGCAUGAGAUGGUAUCUCAUUGUGGUUUUGAUUUGCAUUUCUCUAAUGACCAGCAAUGAUGAGCUUUUUUUCAUAUGUUUGUUGGUCUCAUAAAUGUCUUCUUUUGAGAAGUGUCUGUUCAUAUCCUUCGCCCACUUUUUGAUGGGGUUGUUUGUUUUUUUCUUGUAAAUUUGCUUAAGUUCCUUGUAGAUUCUGGAUAUUAGGCCUUUGUCAGAUGGAUUGACUGCAAAAAUUUUCUCCCAUUCUGUAGGUUGACUGUUCACUCUGAUAAUAGUUUCUUUCACUGAGCAGAAGCUCUUUAGUUUAAUAAGAUCUCGUUUGUCAAUUAUGGCUUUUGUUGCAGUUGCUUUUGGUGUUUUAGUCAUGAAGUCUUUGCCAAUGACUUCCACACAGGGAGGGGAACAUCACGCACCAGGGCCUGUUGGGGGGUAGGGGGAAAGGAGAGGGAGAGCAUUAGGACAAAUACCUAAUGCAUAUGGAGCUUAAAACCUAGAUGAUGAGUUGAUAGAUGCAGCAAACCACCGUGGCAUAUGUAUACCUAUGUAACAAAUCUGCAUGUUCAGCAUAUGUAUCCCAGAACUUAAAGUAAAAUUAAAAACAAAUAAAUAAAUAAAAUAAAAUUUUAAAAUGCCAUUUUAACAUGUAACGUUCCUAUUAAAAGCUUUUAUCUGGAAAAAAAUUAAAAGG